rnacentral:rRNA from 1 species
AUUGAACGCUGGCGGCAUGCUUUACACAUGCAAGUCGAACGGCAGCGCGGGCUUCGGCCUGGCGGCGAGUGGCGAACGGGUGAGUAAUACAUCGGAACGUGCCCAGUAGUGGGGGAUAGCUCGGCGAAAGCCGGAUUAAUACCGCAUACGACCUGAGGGUGAAAGCGGGGGAUCUUCGGACCUCGCGCUAUUGGAGCGGCCGAUGGCAGAUUAGCUAGUUGGUGGGGUAAAGGCCUACCAAGGCGACGAUCUGUAGCUGGUCUGAGAGGACGACCAGCCACACUGGGACUGAGACACGGCCCAGACUCCUACGGGAGGCAGCAGUGGGGAAUUUUGGACAAUGGGCGAAAGCCUGAUCUAGCAAUGCCGCGUGUGUGAUGAAGGCCUUCGGGUUGUAAAGCACCUUUGGCGGGAACGAAAAGGACUGUGCCAAUACCACGGUUCGAUGACGGUACCCGCAGAAUAAGCACCGGCUAACUACGUG